rnacentral:rRNA from 1 species
UACAGAGGUCCCAAGCGUUGUUCGGAUUCAUUGGGCGUAAAGGGUGCGUAGGUGGCGCCGUAAGUCAGGUGUGAAAUCUCGGGGCUUAACUCCGAAACUGCAUUUGAUACUGGUGUGCUUGAGGACUGGAGAGGAGACUGGAAUUCAUGGUGUAGCAGUGAAAUGCGUAGAGAUCAUGAGGAAGACCAGUGGCGAAGGCGGGUCUCUGGACAGUUCCUGACACUGAGGCACGAAGGCCAGGGGAGCAAACGGG